AUGGGGGCCGAGCACCACUCGCCGUCGUCGGCCAAGACCUCCCCUCGCGGCUCCGGCGUGGGUGGCGGGGGCGAGCAGUACUCCCCGUCGACCAAGUCUCCGCGCGGUGGUGCCGGAGGCGGAGGCGAGCACUACUCCGCGUCGAGCAAGUCCCCGCGCGCUGGCGGCAUCGGCGGUGUCUCGUCCUUGCUCCCGAGCGGCGGCGUGUCGUCCCUGCUGCCGAGCGGCGCGGUGGCGACGCUGCUCGAGAGCAGGUGGACGCUCUCCGGCGCCAUCACCGUGUUCCUGUUCCUCGCCGUCACGCUCACCGUCACGACGUCGUCGUCGUCGCUGUCCCCCGUCUCGGCCUCCUUCUUCUCCUUCCUCCCGGCCGGCCGCGCCGCCCUCGUCGAGCCGCCGCAGGCCCAGCAGCAGCCGCAGGCCCCGCCGCCGCCUCCGCCCGGCGCCGGCGUGCCGCGGCUGGCGUACCUCGUGUCCGGGUCCAAGGGCGACCUGGACCGGCUGUGGCGCGCGCUGCACGCGCUCUACCACCCGCGCAACCUCUACGUGGUGCACCUGGACCGCGAGGCGCCCGUGGGCGAGCGGCUGGAGCUGGCGGCGCGGGUGGCCAACAGCACCGUCUUCCGCCGCGUCGGCAACGUGGAGGUGAUCCGCCGCGCCAACAUGGUGACCUACCGCGGGCCGACCAUGGUGGCCAACACCCUGCACGCCUGCGCCGUGCUCCUCCGCCGCAGCCGCGACUGGGACUGGUUCAUCAACCUCUCCGCCUCCGACUACCCGCUCAUGUCCCAGGACGAUGUGCUGCACGUAUUCUCGACGCUGCCGCGCAACGUCAACUUCGUCGAGCACACCAGCCGCCUCGGCUGGAAGGAGGGGCAGCGCGCGCAGCCGCUGAUCGUGGACCCGGGGCUGUACGCGUCGAAGAAGCAGGACAUCUUCUACGCGUCCGGGCGGCGGGAGCUGCCGACGGCGUUCCGGCUGUACACGGGGUCGGCGUGGGUGGCGCUGACGCGGGACUUCGCCGAGUACGUGGUGUGGGGGUGGGACAACCUGCCGCGGACGCUGCUCAUGUACUACGCCAACUUCGUGUCGUCGCCGGAGGGCUACUUCCAGACGGUGCUCUGCAACGCGCCCCGGUUCGUGCCCACCGUCGCCAACCACGACCUCCACCACAUCCAGUGGGACGUGCCGCCGCGCCAGCACCCGCACGCGCUCACGCUCGGGGACAUGGACCGCAUGGUGCGCAGCGACGCGCCGUUCGCGCGCAAGUUCGCGCGCGACGACCCCGUGCUCGACGCCAUCGACGCCCAGCUGCUGGGCGGCCGCGGCGGGAACGGCACGGCAGGGGCGGGGAUGUUCGUGCGGGGAGGCUGGUGCGGCGAGAACGGGGACUGCGAGGGCGCCGCCGGCGACGAGGACUGGGUGCUCCGGCCCGGGCCCGGCGCCGAGCGGCUGCGCAGGCUCAUGGACCGGAUCGUCAGGUCGGAGGCGUUCGCGAACCGCCAGUGCAAGUAG
rnacentral:rRNA from 1 species